UGGAUCGAUGAUGACCACGGAUGGCGUAUGAGUCAGUCGAUGACUACGGGUCUGGAAGUCUGAGGUCGAC